UUAGUUAUUCAAGGAUUGAGGACUCCUUGAGGAUCCAAUCUUAUUAUUUGAGGACGGGGAUAAAGAUCCCUUCAAAUAAUUCUAAUGAGGAUGGGGAGAGGACGGGAAUAUAUGUAAAAUAUCGAGAAAGAGAUUGGAGACGUCGGUCCCCUCCCCUCCCUAUUGCCAUCUCUAGAAAUGAAUAUAUCAUUCUGACUUAAUUAUAAAAGGAAUUAAUACAAUUAUCAGCUUUGAAUAUGUUAUCACUUUAUUCACUGUACUAGGAAUUUUCUUCUUUGUUAAUUUUCAUUUUUGGGGACCAAACUAAGUUUAUUCAUGGUGUCCUAUACGACACAGUUCAUGCCUUUAUGUGAUGUGUCUCACUUUUUCUUAGCAAGAACCGCUGCAGAGGUGUGUAGCCUGUUAGGAAAUUGGUGGGUGAAGCAGGACCGCAGCUAAAAUGAAAUUGGAAAUAAAAUAAAGAACAAGCACAAUAGAGGACACCAGAAAUUACGUGGUUCGGCUUUUAACCUACAUCCACGGGCGAAGACAAAAGGAAAUAUUUUACUAGUGAAAAGAAGUUACAAGUAUUGUAGUAUUUUAGCUCACUACCCAAAACCUCAAUACACCCAAACUCUCAAAUCACUAAAAUUAGAGCUUAUAAAUGCAAGCUCUUAAACUCUCAAUUCUCUCUACAAAACUUGGAUCUCAAGAUUGGAAUAAAAUGAAUUAGGGAGCUCUUCCUUUUAUAGCCAAAAAAUGGCUAUUAAAUUAAUAUAUAUAUGUAUAUAUUUCAAAUGUUGUUGCCAACUUCUUCUUUUUCUCCAUUUGGAUGGCACCAUUUUCUUUGGCCGGCAUCACCAUUUUCUUUGGUCGGCUUGUCAAAGCCAACUUGAAUUGGCUUUGUGGCCACCGGCCUUUGACAUUUCUCCCACUUGGAGAUUUGAUUGAAAAUCAAUCAAUCUCCACAUCAUCCUUUCUGCUUCGCCAUAAUCAUGUUGCCUACGUUGCUGCUAGGCCACAGGAGGAUCUACUCCAGACAAACUUAUCAGUAUUUAUCGGCUUGGUCAAAACAUCUGCUAGGUUCUCCUUCGUAUGGAUUUUCUGUAAAUCCACACUUCCAUCUUCCACUACUUCUCGAACGAAGUGAUACUGAACUCCUAUGUGCUUUGUCCUGGAAUGAAAAGCUGGAUUCCUUGCAAUGUGCAAGGCACUCUGACUGUCACAAAACACAGGAAUUUUCUGUUGUUUGUGCCCGAGCUCCUCCAAUAAUCUUUGUAUCCAGAUAGCUUCCUUGCAAGCUUGUGUAGCUGCCAUGUAUUCUGCUUCUGUUGUAGAUAAAGCCACAACGGUCUGCAGUUUCGAAACCCAGCUUACAGCUGCUCCCGCAAGUGUAAACACAUAACCAGUAGUGGAUUUCCUUUUAUCAAGAUCUCCUGCAAAAUCUGAAUCCACAUAACCUCUGACAGUAAACUCUGAUCCUCCAUAACAUAAUGCAACAUCUGAGGUUCCUCUGAUGUAUCUCAGAAUCCUCUUUACAGUUAUCCAAUGCUCUCCGCCAGGAUUCGCCAUGUAUCGACUGACUGCUCCCACUGCUUGUGCAAUGUCCGGUCUUGUACAUAUCAUAGCGAACAUUAAACUUCCCACUGCUGAUGCAUACGGUACUCGAGACAUCUCCUUCCUCUCUGCUUCAUUGCUAGGACACAUACUUGAGGAUAAUUUGAAAUUAACAGGAAGUGGGGUAGAAAUUGACUUACAAUCUUGCAUGUUGAAGCGCCGCAAGAUUUUCUUCAAAUAAUUCUUCUGUGAGAGCCAAAUCUUCCUGUUAUUUCUGUCUCGGUGAAUUUGCAUCCCUAGAAUCUUGUUUGCUGGUCCCAAGUCCUUCAUUUCAAACUCCCUAGCCAACUGUGCCUUCAAUUCUUGGAUUCGAUCUUUGUUGGGACCUGCUACCAACAUGUCAUCCACAUACAACAGUAAAAUGAUGAAAUCAUUAUCUUCAAACCUCUUGUAAUAUGUACAAUGAUCUGAACUGAGUCUGUUGUAUCCAAGGCUUAUGAUGAAGGAAUCAAAUCUCUUAUACCAACACCUCGGCGCCUGUUUGAGACCGUAUAGAGAUUUGUUCAACCUGCAAACCAAGUUCUCCUUUCCUUUUUCUGCAAAACCUUCUGGUUGGAGCAUAUAAAUUUCUUCUUCAAGUUCUCCAUGAAGAAAUGCAGUUUUAACAUCUAACUGCUCUAGAUGUAGGUUAAAUGUAGCACACAUUGCCAAGACUAUUCUGACUGUUGUGAGUCGAACCACCGGAGAAAAUAUCUCUUUGAAGUCAAUACCUUCUUUCUGAGCAUAUCCUUUCACUACCAGUCUCGCACGAUACCGCUCCACUUGGUCAUUGCCAUCACGUUUGAUCUUGUAGACCCAUUUGUUUCCAAUGGUUUUUCUUCCACGUGGUAGUGGUACAAGUUCCCAUGUCUUGUUCUUGUGUAGAGCUUCAAUUUCUUCCUGCAUUGCUGUCAUCCACAAAGCAACAUCUGAGCUGUUUAAAGCUUCAUGGAAAGUUGAAGGCUCUCCAUCCUCUGUUAGAAGACAGUAUGCAACGUUGAUCUCUGUGGCAUACUCCGAGUGCCACGUUGGCGGUCGUCUCUCACGAGUUGACCGACGAACUUCUGGAGCCUCGGACUCAACUGGUUCUUGUUCCUCGUGCUCUGAUGCUGCUUCAGAAGAAUCUGAAUCUUCUGGAUUAUUUUCGACAUAUACCGGCACAGUCUCUGACUUUUCUUUUACAGUGCCAUCAUCUUCAUCUUUUCUUUGCAGUUGAUCUUCUACAAAAAUAACAUCUCUGCUGAUGACGAUCUUGUGGGCAGUGGGGUCCCACAGACGAUACCCCUUUACUCCAUCAGCAUACCCCAAGAAGAUACAUCUUCUAGAUUUUGCAUCCAGCUUUGUUCUUUCUUGGGCAUUGUACAUCACGUACACAGGACAUCCAAAUGCAUGUAGGUAGGAAUAAUCAGCUGGCUUUCCAGUCCACAUCUCCAUCGCCGUCUUCAACCCAAUAGCUGUAGAUGGCGACCGAUUUACUAUAUAACAGACAGUUUUGGCUGCUUCUGCCCAGAAUGAAUUGGGUAGACCAGCAGUCCUCAACAUAGCUCUUAUUCUUUCUGUAAAAGUUCUGUUCAUCCGUUCUGCCACUCCAUUUUGUUGAGGAGUAUAUGCCACCGUGAACUGUCUCUGAAUACCUUCUUGCUUAUAGAAAGCAAGAAACUCGCCGUCUGUAUAUUCUCCACCAUUAUCUGUCCUCAAGCACUUGAUCUUUUUACCAGAUUCAAGUUCCACCCGCGCUUUGUAUUCUUUAAACACUGGAAAUACAUCUGACUUUUUCUUAAUUGGAUACACCCAACAUCUUCUGGAAUAAUCAUCAAUGAAAGUCACCAUGUACUUUGCACCUCCCAUGGAUAUAUCCGGUGAUUCCCAGACAUCAGAAUGAAUCAAGUCUAGAAUAUAUUUACUUCUAGCAAUAGAUCUACUGAAUUUUAAUCUAUGCUGCUUACUUGUAACACAAUGCUCGCAAAAUGGUAAACUUACCGAUUUGAGCCCCGGAAGUAAUUUUCGCUCAGAGAGAAUCUUCAAUCCUUGUUCCGACAUGUGGCCAAGUUUGAGAUGCCACAUCAUCGUUGACUCUUCUCCAUUUGAUGCGACACACGCAUCAGCCUCCUGUAGUGUUUCUCCUUUAAGCAUGAAUAAAUUAGCACCAAUCUUUUCUGCCUUCAUCAAUACAAGCGCGCAUUUAAUGAUCUUCAUUAUUCCAUUCUCCACAUGAGUUUUAUACCCAUGACUAUCCAUUUGUCCCAAAGACAAUAGAUUUUUCUUCAGGCCAUUGACAUGUCUUACCUCUCCAAUUGUGCGAAUUGUACCAUCAAACAUUUUUAUUUUGAUAGUACCAAUACCAGCGAUCUCCAAGGCAUGAUCGUUACCCAUAUAUACAGAUCCUCCUGAGAUAGGUUCAUAUGUGUGGAACCAUUCUCUCCUAGAGGUCAUGUGCCAGGUAGCUCCCGAGUCUAUAAGCCAGACAUCAGAAAGUCGUUUUCUGCCUUCUGAAACAGUUGUUGCCUCACUGUAGAGAAUUUCGCCAUCAUCUGAGGUACUUGCUACACACCCCUGAGCAUUUGAUGACUCAGGUUCUUUGCCCUCUCUUUUCUUCUGGUUACUCCAACACUCCUUUUUGACGUGCCCUUUCUUGCCACAGUUGUAGCAUUUAACAUUCUUCUUACUUCUGGAUUUUGAUCUACCAUGAUUUUGACUCCCACUGGGGCCACGUUCUGUUGAUCUUCCUCUCGUCACCGAUAGCGCCUCCGCUUGCUGCGAACUUGCUUGUCUGUUUUCCUUGUUUUUCCGCCUGCUCUCCUCAUUUAAUACGGAGGCUGCAACAUCGUCGAAAACUAGACUCUCCACUGGAUUAUUGUUCGUCAGGUUGAUGAUGAGUUGAUCAUACGAAUCUGGUAGACUUUGAAGUAGAAGCUCUGCACGUUCAUUUUCCUCUAUAUUAUGACCCAACGUUGUGAGUUGUGAAAAUAGAGUCUUCAAUGUGUUGAUGUGGUCGGUCACCAUUGUAGAUUCCGCCAUUCGAAGAGUAUAGAGUUUCCUCUUCAAGAAGAUUUUAUUGUGUAGUGACUUGGCCUCGUACAAUUUUGUGAGAGUAUCCCAUAUUUCCUUCGCCGUAUUUUUCUCUGCCACACUGGAUAAUACUCCAUCCGCAAGUGCCAAGUGUAGAUCAGAAAUGGCAUUGCCGUCUACCUCGUUCCACUUGUCAUCAGUUAUCUCCAUGGGCCUUUCUUCAAUUGCUGCCAAGCAAUUAUUUUUCCUUAAUACAGCUUUCAUCUUCAUUUUCCACAACGAAAAAUUAUUUCCGUUAAAUUUCUCAAUUUCAUACUUUGCCGCCAUUUUAUUGAUAAAUACUGUACACAAGCUAGUGUACCACCUUGAAUAGUUGUGAGUAUGUGUGAGAAUGCACACCAGGAAAGUUCCCAGGAAAGACUGGAGGGGUCACAAUGGUCCCACUUAAAACCCAGACUCCUUAAGCUCUUAUCGCCUUUGUGACAGAACUUUCCUAGACAUGUACAGAACCACACAGUUGCUUUACUCACACCACUAUUCCCUGCUUUGCACCGUAAAAUUCUUGGAUCGCUUCCACCGUUUCACGUGAAUAGUACCGUAUACAUGAAUAGUGCCGUACACCAUAUACGUGAAUAGUGCCGUACGCAGUAUACGUGAAUAGUAUCGUAUGCCGUAUACGUGAAUAGUGCCGUACGCCGUAUACGUGAAUACGUGAACAAUUCCUGACUCCAAAAAUACAACCAAUAGCUCUGAUACCACUGUUAGGAAAUUGGUGGGUGAAGCAGGACCGCAGCUAAAAUGAAAUUGGAAAUAAAAUAAAGAACAAGCACAAUAGAGGACACCAGAAAUUACGUGGUUCGGCUUUUAACCUACAUCCACGGGCGAAGACAAAAGGAAAUAUUUUACUAGUGAAAAGAAGUUACAAGUAUUGUAGUAUUUUAGCUCACUACCCAAAACCUCAAUACACCCAAACUCUCAAAUCACUAAAAUUAGAGCUUAUAAAUGCAAGCUCUUAAACUCUCAAUUCUCUCUACAAAACUUGGAUCUCAAGAUUGGAAUAAAAUGAAUUAGGGAGCUCUUCCUUUUAUAGCCAAAAAAUGGCUAUUAAAUUAAUAUAUAUAUGUAUAUAUUUCAAAUGUUGUUGCCAACUUCUUCUUUUUCUCCAUUUGGAUGGCACCAUUUUCUUUGGCCGGCAUCACCAUUUUCUUUGGCCGGCUUGUCAAAGCCAACUUGAAUUGGCUUUGUGGCCACCGGCCUUUGACAUAGCCACCCAUUUAAAGAAAUUCCUGGAGACUGUAUAUGCAUUUAGUCUCAGAGCACUGCAAGUCCAAACAAAUCAGGGAGAUAAUUAACCUCCGCUGCCUCAGAGCAAGUAAAGCUUUAGGAGUCCAUCGAGUGAUACCAUCGGGGUGUGCGGUGCAGUAGGUGAUAUGCUUCUCUGUUCUCGGAUGAAUCUCAUUUUCGGGAUGACCAAACCCCAAGAUUUUUUAAACAGCCAAAUCUCUCGGACGUAGUCGGCAGGGCUGCCUUUCCAGCUAUUCCUGGGCAGUGUGUUUGAUUCUCCAGGGGAACAGGACAGGUGGUCACACUCUUUAACGUCACAACACAAUUAUUUGAUCAGAAAAGCUUUGUGGUCCAGCUCUUUAAUGUCACGGAGCAAUCAUUAAAUGAAUUAUUGAGAAAAUACCGUAUAACUUUUUACAAGA
rnacentral:lncRNA from 1 species